CCAAUGAGCGAUGAUGAUCUGAUCAGCUACAUCAUGGUGGGUCUCAAAGCUGAUUACAACCCACUGGUUUCCUCUGUCACAACCAGGCUGACUCGAUCGGUCUAUCCGAGUUCUACGCCUAUUUUCUCUCAUA